rfam:Helicobacteraceae bacterium 4484_230 ex4484_230_scaffold_47544, whole genome shotgun sequence.
GUAGCUGCUUUUGUGAGCGGUGGUCUCGCCUGAGGGUCAACGCCCGAGAGAUUGUGGCCUAAUAAAGCACUCGCUUCGCUCUAUUUCGGCUUUGAGAACCAUCAAGCCACUGCGAAACGGCCACCCGGAC